GACGGAAGGUGCAAGCGUUGCUCGGAAUCACUGGGCGUAAAGGGUGCGUAGGCGGCUUGGUAGGUCUGGUGUGAAAGCCCCGGGCUCAGCCCGGGAAGGGCACUAGAAACUGCCAAGCUGGAGUGCCGGAGGGGAGAGUGGAAUUCCUGGUGUAGCGGUGAAAUGCGUAGAGAUCAGGAGGAAUACCGGUGGCGAAAGCGACUCUCUGGACGGCAACUGACGCUGAGGCACGAAAGCGUGGGGAGCAAACAGG
rnacentral:rRNA from 1 species